rnacentral:rRNA from 1 species
AUUGAACGCUGGCGGCAGGCCUAACACAUGCAAGUCGAGCGAGCGGCGGACGGGUGAGUAAUGUAUGGGGACUGCCCGAUAGAGGGGGAUAACUACUGGAAACGGUGGCUACUACCGCAUACUAUCGGAUAACCCAUAUGUGAUUAGCUAGUAGGUGGGGUAAAGGCUCACCUAGGCGACGAUCUCUAGCUGGUCUGAGAGGCUGAUCAGGCACAUGGGGACGGAGGUGCGGCCCAGACUCCAACGGAGGCAGCAGUGGGGAAGAGGGCACAAUGGGCGCAAGCCUGAUGCAGCCAUGCCGCGUGUAUGAAGAAGGCCUUAGGGUUGUAAAGUACUUUCAGCGGGUAGGGGUUACCCGCAGAAGAUGCACCGGCUAACGCCGUGCCAGCAGCCGCGGUAAUUC